rnacentral:pre_miRNA from 1 species
GCGUUUGCCGAAAAUACCGCCAUCCGCCUCCUACCUGUGCCUGCACCGGAGCGUAUCUCAUUCAUUCUGGUGCAGGCACAGGUAGGAGGCGGAUUGCGGUAUUUUCG